rnacentral:rRNA from 1 species
UACGGGGGGAGCAAGCGUUGUUCGGAUUUACUGGGCGUAAAGGGCGCGUAGGCGGCCAGCACAAGUCAGUUGUGAAAUCUCCGAGCUUAACUCGGAAAGGUCAACUGAUACUGUGCGGCUAGAGUGCGGAAGGGGCAACUGGAAUUCUUGGUGUAGCGGUGAAAUGCGUAGAUAUCAAGAGGAACACCUGCGGCGAAGGCGGGUUGCUGGGCCGACACUGACGCUGAGGCGCGAAAGCCGGGGGGGCGAACGGG